ACGUGUGUGGCUGGACGGACAGAGCGAACGACAAGCCCACAGGGAGAGAAAGAAAAGAAAAAAAACACGGUUUAAUCCAUGUAUAUAGUUCCAGAGAGACAGGAAAUGCAUGGGAGAGAGAGCGGGGAAGACAUGCAGAAAGAAAGGAGCCGGAAUCGAACCCAGGCCUCUGUGUUAGGGCCUCAGCCUCUACGAACCCGUGUGCUGGCGUCUUCACCUGAAGCCCUGCUCUCUGAUGGCAAAGGCCGGCGUCUCUAGGGGGAGGAUCUCGGAGCGGAC